CUUUGUUUUUGCUUGCAUACGACUACUUGA
rnacentral:piRNA from 1 species